UUGAUGUGAUUAUUCUUUUUUUUAUCAUUUACUAAUUUGAACUAUGAGUUAUUAUGAUUCGGCUACCUAAUCUCUCAAAAUUUUUAUUCAUUUUUAGGGUUUGACUUUAAAAUUUAAUCAAUUAUAGUUACGAGAAUUGCAUAAGUAUAUUAAUUGAACUUGCAAAGCUAAACGAUGAAUUCAAACUUUAAAACUAAUGUCAUCGACUGAUUUAAAUCAAAUAAAUUUAAAAAUAAAUAUAUAAAUUUAGAAUUUUAAAAUAUUAGAUAGUCAAUUCAAAAUGAUUCAAACAAAUUUAAUAAUUUUAAUAACUUCGUAGUAUAUAAAAUUAAAUAAGUUUCUGUUCAAAAAAGAAAAUUAAUAAAAACUUUAAGGAUUUACUUAAAUGACCUAUAGUUGAUAGUUUUAGCAUAAAUAUCAAAAAAUAAGUGAAAAAAGUUUGAUUUUGAAACAAAAAGUGAACAAAUUAAGGGUAAAAUGGUAAUUUCAUAUUUUGAAAUAAAAUAAAAAAUGUUAUGUUGACGGAAGUUAGCAAAAAAUAACGGUGAGAAUAUUUAUGAAAGAAAUAUUAUAUUUAGAGAAGUAUUUGUGAAAUUUAAAAAAUUAAAAUAAUAUUUAUGAUAUUUCAUAACUUUGUGAGGGUACAAAUGGAAUUAACCCUUAGAUAAAUUAU
rnacentral:lncRNA from 1 species